CCUUGAAAUACCACCCUUUAAUGUUUGAUGUUCUAACGUGGACCCGUGAUCCGGGUUGCGGACAGUGUCUGGUGGGUAGUUUGACUGGGGCGGUCUCCUCCUAAAGAGUAACGGAGGAGCACGAAGGUUGGCUAAUCCUGGUCGGACAUCAGGAGGUUAGUGCAAUGGCAUAAGCCAGCUUGACUGCGAGCGUGACGGCGCGAGCAGGUGCGAAAGCAGGUCAUAGUGAUCCGGUGGUUCUGAAUGGAAGGGCCAUCGCUCAACGGAUAAAAGGUACUCCGGGGAUAACAGGCUGAUACCGCCCAAGAGUUCAUAUCGACGGCGGUGUUUGGCACCUCGAUGUCGGCUCAUCACAUCCUGGGGCUGAAGUAGGUCCCAAGGGUAUGGCUGUUCGCCAUUUAAAGUGGUACGCGAGCUGGGUUUAGAACGUCGUGAGACAGUUCGGUCCCUAUCUGCCGUGGGCGCUGGAGAACUGAGGGGGGCUGCUCCUAGUACGAGAGGACCGGAGUGGACGCAUCACUGGUGUUCGGGUUGUCAUGCCAAUGGCACUGCCCGGUAGCUAAAUGCGGAAGAGAUAAGUGCUGAAAGCAUCUAAGCACGAAACUUGCCCCGAGAUGAGUUCUCCCUGAGACUUUA
rnacentral:rRNA from 1 species